CUGGGUGCUCCUGGUGGUCCUGCACGAUCGGCUGUGCAGUAGGCUUGUCAAGGAGAGGAUCCUCCCUGGCCUCUCCUUGGGCAGAGGAGGUGGUCCAUAAAGCUGCUCUGGAGCCAAAAUAUUGCAGUCACAUCUCGGCAGCGACCUGCCCUCAGGUGGCAUUUUCAAGUCAUGGAGAAGGCGGAGAGAGAAGCAAUCAGCAGCCACCCACUGCAGCUGGAGACCCCAGAACUUGGUGUCUGCCUCCCAUGGCACUGGGAAGGCUGGAGGCAGGUUAGAAAAAUCACCCCCUCUCUCCCACAGCCACCUGGCUCACAGGUGCCUUUAGAAGUAACCUUUCACGCGAGGGCUACACUGCCCCAUUUUAGAGGUGGGGAAACAAAGGCCCGGAGGGCUAGGGAGGAGGGCAGGCUCCCCAGUUGGGGCA
rnacentral:lncRNA from 1 species